rnacentral:rRNA from 1 species
CGUGCAGGACGACUGCCCUAUGGGUUGUAAACUGCUUUUAUACGGGAAUAAACCCCACUACGUGUAGUGGGCUGAAUGUACUGUAAGAAUAAGGAUCGGCUAACUCCGUGCCAGCAGCCGCGGUAAUACGGAGGAUCCAAGCGUUAUCCGGAUUUAUUGGGUUUAAAGGGUGCGUAGGCGGCCUAUCAAGUCAGAGGUGAAAGACGGUAGCUUAACUAUCGCAGUGCCUUUAAAACUGGUGGGCUUGAAUGUACUUGAGGUGGGCGGAAUGUGACAAGUAGCGGUGAAAUGCAUAGAUAUGUCACAGAACCCCGAUUGCGAAGGCAGCUCACUAAAGUAUGAUUGACGCUGAUGCACGAAAGCGUGGGGAUCAAACAGGAUUAGAUACCCUGGUAGUCCACGCCCUAAACGAUGAAUACUCGAUGUUGGCGAUACACUGUCAGCGUCCACGCGAAAGCAUUAAGUAUUCCACCUGGGGAGUACGUCCGCAAGGAUG